UAACACGGUUGCUUCGUUCUCUGCAUCAGAAACUUUCUUGAAAGGCGCGUUUGUGCUUCGGAGUCAGCUGAAGAACUUGCUCAGUACUCGAACUCCAAGCCCAGGACCUACCUACCCUGGAUCCCCGGGACCGACAGCACAGUCACAAGCAGCAAUACUUCCGUGUUCUCCGAGUUCUGAAGCAGUGCGAAGUCGCAGACAGCACGCAGGCGACUGCCAGUGACGGCGGGUCUCGCACUACGCGUCAAACAGAGAUGGCUUCGCCAGCAGAGCGCUUGUUACUCGUGAGUCCUUCGAUAGCUCAGUUGGUAGAGCGGAGGACUGUAGUGGCAGCUCGCUGGUAUCCUUAGGUCGCUGGUUCGAAUCCGGCUCGAAGGAACUUACACUUUUAGUGAGUUCAAGGCAUGUCCUAGUUGUUGGUAUCCUCAAGGGUCAAUUUAAAGCGAUUUUUGAUGUGCAAGCCGUCUCGCUAAAUUAUUAAAAUCUUUAGUUAUUUUGAAUACCCACACUUCGAUUCCAUUGGACCUAUUUUAACCCUCAGAAAACUCUCUGACCCGGCAAAGCGAAUCAGAGGUAGGCCCACCCCGCCAGGGCUCCGGAGAUGGAUCCACACACACUCUCGACCUCAGAUUCCAAGCCUGGGAGGGUCGACCGGAGAAGAGUCGCCAGGCCGGUGGGCAUCGAUGGGACACGCGCGCCCCCUGCAGGUCGGAGUGCUUAGCAACUGGGGCUCAUUUGUC
rnacentral:tRNA from 1 species